GACGAACGCUGGCGGCGUGCUUAACGCAUGCAAGUCGAACGGUGAACCCGCUUCGGUAGGGGAUCAGUGGCGAACGGGUGAGUAACACGUGGGCAACCUGCCCCCGGCUCUGGGAUAACUCCAAGAAAUUGGGGCUAAUACCGGAUAUGACCGCUGGCCGCAUGGUCUGGUGGUGGAAAGCUUUAUCGGCUGGGGAUGGGCCCGCGGCCUAUCAGCUUGUUGGUGGGGUAGUGGCCUACCAAGGCGACGACGGGUGGCCGGCCUGAGAGGGUGACCGGCCACACUGGGACUGAGACACGGCCCAGACUCCUACGGGAGGCAGCAGUGGGGAAUAUUGCGCAAUGGGCGGAAGCCUGACGCAGCGACGCCGCGUGGGGGAUGACGGCCUUCGGGUUGUAAACCUCUUUCAGCAGGGACGAAGCCGCGAGGUGACGGUACCUGCAGAAGAAGCACCGGCCAACUACGUGCCAGCCGCCGCUGUAAAAC
rnacentral:rRNA from 1 species